ensembl:lncRNA
GGCCGGGGAGGCGGAGAGGCCGGGACCGGAGAUUGUGCCGCUGGACGAGGCGGCCAGUCCUCGGCGGGCUCUGGGCUAGUCAAGUAUUGUAUUAAUGCCAACCCCAAUUAGAAUGAGGGGGUGCCGUUUGUCCUAUUCGCUAUCAAGGAAAUAAUACAAGAGUCCUCAGUAUUCAACCCUGCUGACCUUGGGUUUGGAGAACCCCCACAGUGGGAGCUAAUAUUAUCUCUGACACCAGGUAGGCCGUUCCAGCCCAGCCGUCGCCAGUGUGGCUGCUGUGGUGCGAAGCCUGGUUGGGACCUAGAGGAGGACAAGGAGGACAGGUUGGAGUUACAGAUGUUCCUAGUUGCACAUCCAUCUUGGAAUUUGAAGUGAAUGUGGGGAAUGCUGGUCCUAUUCGUCAGCAUCCAUACUGGGUAAAAGUGAAAAGUGUGGUGGCUUACUUAUUACAGUAUGACAUGGCUUAGCCUUGUAACAUUUCCUGGAGUUCCCAGUGUAUCUUCG